UUCUUGUUGUAUCCCUGCACCAACUGAUUUCUGUUGUUCAGGGGAAGACUACUUAGGUAAAUUUGCAAUCCACUCCCACCGCUUAAUUUUGCUCUGGUUUAUCAUAAUAUCAUAAUUUUGCUCUACUUCAGCCUCUUGUUUUCUGCAAAAUUCGCCCAUCUUCUCUUCUUACUCGCUUAACCCUUGUGAUUUUUACCGUGCUUUUUUGCUUUCAUAAAUUGAAUCCCAAUUUCUGGAAUAUAAACUGAUAUUUUUGACAGUAAAUUGACGUUUUGCUGAGUUUUUUGCAGUUUCACAUUUGCUCACUAAGAUGAAAGAUUUUAUUUUAUCUCAAGUUUAUCGAUUUUGCUGCUACUUUCGACAUCAUCGGUCACUUGAAGCUCUUUGUGUAAGAAAUCUGGGUCACUGACUUGAACGCACGUUCACCGAGAAGAAAUCGAAAGACUUGAAAUUGAUGUUUGAUUCGCUAGCUGCACAAAUUUUCCUUCUAUUUUCAGGGUUAUAUUGGAGUUGAAGGGUCAUUGUGAUAGCAUUCAUGGCAGCUCAACAUCAUUAAAGGAGAAGGAUGAAGCUCUGGAAGCUCCAAGAAGGCCCAUGACAAGGUCUCAAACAAAGAAAUUUCAAGACAAGCUUAAUGGGCUUCAAUUGGCAAUUAAAAAGUAUUUUAUAAUAGAAGAAGAGCUCCAGCACAAGGAGGAUCUUUGGGCCAAGUCUUACAACUAUUUUGAGGCCAAAAUUAAAGUCCAAUAGGAGAUGGAAUGAGGCCCAAAUAUGCCCCAAAAGAGAGGAAUUUUCAGCAGCCCAAAUAAGCCCAAAAAUAGUUUCUAGAAUAUAUAUUUAAUAGUUGUUUUAAUCUAUGUUGACUUGCAUUGGCCUAUAUGUAUGUUGACUAUAUUGGUCUUAGUGUGGGUAGUCUUCUAUGCUUCUAGGGAAUAUAAUUCUCAUUUAUUGAAGUCUUGACUAGCUCCUUCUUUACUACUAUAUAAAGGGGUGCUUGUCUUCCAUUGU